UACAGAGGUCUCAAGCGUUGUUCGGAUUUAUUGCGCGUAAAGAGCGUGUAGGCGGCCAAGUAGGUCCGGUGUGAAAACUCGAGGCUUAACCUCGAGAUGUCAUCGGAAACCAUUUGGCUAGAGUCCGGAAGAGGAAAGUGGAAUUCCUGGUGUAGCGGUGAAAUGCGUAGAUAUCUGGAGGAACACCGGUGGCGAAGGCGGCAUCCUGGACCGACACUGACGCUGAGGAGCGAAAGCCAGGGGAGCAAACGGG
rnacentral:rRNA from 1 species